UUAAGACUUGUUCAAUUAAUGUCUUCCAUUCUAUAUCUUCGAAAAUACUCUUGUUUACAUCGCUAUGCUGAUCUUAGACGUUAAAUCACUAUUUUCUUCAUAUCACUUGGGUACAAGCAUUUAAAAUCAGUGUCACCAUAACUAUAAUUGCCUCAAAUUGCAUGUUUAUUAAGUCAGAUUAUUAAAAGUAUCCGCAAUUGACCAGAACAGGGGCGGGUUCGAGAAACACAGCAAACACAAAUGGAUCAAUAUGUUUCAUGGAGUAAUGUUGAAUAAGUUAUCAAACAUAGUGUUCAUCAAAAACAUUUUUUCAUUUUUGUAAAAAAAAACUACAGCCAUAGGCUGAUUCAUAUACUGUACAAAUAGAAAACUGUAAAAUCACGGUUAAAAUUCAACUUUAUCUUGAAAGUUUUAGUAAACUCUUAUCGCAAACUGAAACGGAAGGAGAAAAACUACUGUGAAAAUCGAUUGGAUAUCCCGAUUAGAUGGUACAUUAGUCGAGCUUAUUAGACGGCAGUAUAUUAGAUUGGACAAACGAUCCAGCUUUCCAGUACAUGCUUGGUAUAAACAUGAAGAACGUACAAUUAGUUAUCGGUAGCGUAUUUUUCAUACUUUUCAUGGUAACACAAUCUAUGGCCGGAGUUGAGGAAGGCCCACUUGGACAAGAUUGCAAGACACCGGGACAGUUAUUUACCGCAAAACCAAAUCUGAUAUGCAUUUGUAACGCGAAUAAAAUAACUCAAUUUUGUCGUUACGAGACACCAAAUUCGAGUCUGAAAAAUACGGGGAAGAAAACAAAGAACUGAAGUUGUGGAUUUGUGUAGCAGCAGAUGAAUCGCUAAAGUUCAUGCAGGGUAUGGAAAAGAAUUGCUGGCUAAUAAACACCUCACAUCGUUCAAGUCACAACCAUAAAUUUGAUAUAGCAUCUUUUAUCACCUGCUGUUAUAUAGAUUUGUUUUGAAAGAUGAUUGACAAAAUGAAUUAAAUAAACAGGUAAUUAAUUCAU